rnacentral:rRNA from 1 species
CCUACGGGAUGCACCAGUGGGGAAUAUUGCACAAUGGGCGCAAGCCUGAUGCAGCCAUGCCGCGUGUGUGAAGAAGGCCUUCGGGUUGUAAAGCACUUUCAGCGGGGAGGAAGGCGGUGAGGUUAAUAACCUCAUCGAUUGACGUUACCCGCAGAAGAAGCACCGGCUAACUCCUUGCCAGCAGCCGCGGUAAUACGGAGGGUGCAAGCGUUAAUCGGAAUUACUGGGCGUAAAGCGCACGCAGGCGGUCUGUCAAGUCGGAUGUGAAAUCCCCGGGCUCAACCUGGGAACUGCAUUCGAAACUGGCAGGCUAGAGCCUUGUAGAGGGGGGUAGAAUUCCAGGUGUAGCGGUGAAAUGCGUAGAGAUCUGGAGGAAUACCGGUGGCGAAGGCGGCCCCCUGGACAAUGACUGACGCUCAGGUGCGAAAGCGUGGGGAGCAAACAGGAUUAGAUACCCUCGUAGUC